ensembl:lncRNA
CUUCCUCAUAAGACGUUAAAAGUGUGGAGUUUGAGGGAGCUGGAUCAGUGGACCUUUACUCACAGUCAGUGACUUUCAGCUUUAUUUAAAGCUUAAAUUUACCUCUUGUGGUCAAGUUUUGAACUCAGCUUCUGUUUUGUGUUUUAGCUCAGACAUUUAGAAAUACUAAGAGUCAGAUCAGCAGGAGGAUAAAACAUAGAAAUGUCUGCAGUAACUUUGUUGCUCUGCUUGACUUUCCUGUUUAUCUGCGUCUUCGUGUUUGUCUCUGCAGAGCAUAAAGUCAUCACAGCUGACUCUGGACGGGAUGUCACUGUGCCAUGUCAAGCUCCAAACGACAACAACAACUUAAUUGUAGUUUGGGGCAGAGCUGACCUGAAGUCAGAAUAUGUCCUUUUGUACCAUGAUGAGUUGAUUGUUCCAGACAACCAGCAUCCAUCUUUUGUGAACCGGACAGAUCUGCAGGACAGACAGAUGAAGGAUGGAGACGUGUCUUUGAUUCUGAAGAGUGUGAACACUGAUGACACUGGAAUGUACGAGUGUUAUGUCAUCCGGGGAUUCAGAAAACGUACGAUUCUCAUCGGCAAAAUCUACCUUUAUGUCGUUCCUCCAGGUCACAAAGGAGGAGACAUAGAGGAUGGAUCUGUUGGACUGAUCCUUCGUCUGUCAGUUCCUGCUGUGGUUCUGGUGUUAAUUAUCCUUAAACUACAUAAACAUUGUGCGACAUUUUGAAAGCUGUGAUCCAUAGUUGCAGGGGGGCUGAUCAGGCAGAUUUUAUUCACUUUAAGUACAAAUGUAAUAUAAAAUCAUAUACUGGAUAUCAUAUGUAUACCAUGUGAUAUCACAUGUCUGAUCCAAAGGUAUUUCACAUCAAUAUUUCGAGUCUCUGGAAGUAUCCAGAUGGCUGAUUCUGAUUCAGUUGGGAAUAUUCCUGCUACAAGGGAGUUCUACCUCCCCAUUUUCACCAAGACCUGCUUGAAGAGGAUCCUUUGAUUUUUGGAGUUUUCUCUCUUACAUUGUUGGUCUUUACCUAACAGUGGCACUGUAAACUAUCAUGACAACAUACUGUUGUUGUGAUCACACUUCAUAAACAACACUCAACUGAAUAGAUGUGAAUUAUCUACAAAAUCAAAUCUUCUCAUCACUGUUUUUCAAAGGAAAUGCAGAGUUUCAGAAAGUGUUAAUAAAGAGAGCUGUGAGAUACUCCUCAAACUGCUACAUCUUGUCUGCGAGUGAGAGUGAAACUACUGAUCUCAUCCUCCAUAGAUAGACAGAGGUGUUUGAAUAUAAUACUAAAGAAAACUCCUUUUGCUUUACUUUGAAGUGCGUUAAAUCUUUCUUUUUUAAGUGUUGCCAAGGUAAAGGGAAUGAGCUGCCUUGUGCGUUAGACAUGUAAUGUUUACACAAUGCUAUUUGAUGUGUUUCCAUUUCCAAAUAAA